GUUGAGUGUGGCGUUAGGCCGCCUCGGCCCGCGGGGCGGGCGGGUUGGCGGUGUGCGCGCUGCUGUUGUGCGGGAUGAGCAGGAGGGGUGUGAGGGAAUGUGGGGGACGUAGAAGGCCAUCUCCGGUGUCCCAGGAAGGGAUUGGAUAUCAGGACUGCAAGCAGUGGGUUUCUGUGCACAGACGAUGUUUUCCAAGGAGAGCAGAUCCACACGUACCUCCCAAGGAAAACUGACUUGGCAUGGGCCAUGCAGAACCCAUGGGCACCCAGGGGAAGGAGAAGGUGCUUGGCAGUGCAAAAUGAUGGCUGCUUUGCACCAGGAAGGCGGGAGGGGCAACACCUGCAUUUGGGGACCCUGCCAAAGCCCUGUUUUCCAUCCAAGAGCAUCACGCUGGCGGCCUGCUGUCCCUGAGCUGCCCUGAGAUGGCCAGGUCAGGAGUGCAUCGCAGUGACACACGUGGGUGCACGUGGGGCUGGGGAGAUAUUUGGGCUGGGCAUAUACAUUCCCUUAUGCCAAGCUACUAGUAAACAAAGUCAGCUCCCUAAUUAUCCAACUUAUUUGGAAUGGCAAAGGCCUGGACAUUAAUCAUCCUGUCCUACAUAAGUAUAAAUAACACUGGCUUUGUUUAGCUCCAGACUUACCAGCUGGAUGUUUGCCAGGCUGGUGCCACCUCAUGUGUCAAGUGACAGUGGCUUGGUUGGUUGUCUCACAUCCUCUCCCACUACGUAUCUCCAGGACCCUCUGUGCCAGGCAAUGGCUGGCUGCCCAUCUCUGCCUGUGUCCUGGCAGAUAAGGGUCACAGAGCAGUGGUGUGUCCCCAGGGUGACUGUCACCCCAGGGGCUCAGUGUCCUAUCCAGCUGGUGACAUGAGUCCUCGCCUACAUGUAAGCAAGUAUAUGAACCCCAAGGAGUUGAGAAAGGUGCUUGAGUGGUAGGAUUUUGCUUUGUCAGAGCUUUGAA